rnacentral:rRNA from 1 species
AUUGAACGCUGGCGGCAGGCCUAACACAUGCAAGUCGAACGGUAACAGGAAGCAGCUUGCUGCUUCGCUGACGAGUGGCGGACGGGUGAGAAAUGUCCGUGAAGCUGCCUGAUGGCGGGGGAUAACUACUGGAAACGGUAGCUAAUACCGCAUAAUGUCGCAAGUCCAAAGCGGGGGACCUUCGGGCCUCUUGCCCUCGGAUGUGCCCAGAUGGGAUUCGCUUGUUGGUGGGGUAACGGCUCACCAAGGCGACGAUCCCUAGCGGGUCUGAGAGGAUGGCCAGCCACACUGGAACUGAGACACGGUCCAGACUCCUACGGGAGGCAGCAGUGGGGAAUAUUGCACAAUGGGCGCAAGCCUGAUGCAGCCAUGCCGCGUGUAUGAAGAAGGCCUUCGGGUUGUAAAGUACUUUCAGCGGGGAGGAAGGGAGUAAAGUUAAUACCGUGGCUCAUUGACGUUACCCGCAGAAGAAGCACCGGCUAACUCCGUG